GACGAACGCUGGCGGCGUGCUUAACACAUGCAAGUCGAACGGAAAGGCCCUGCUUUUGUGGGGUGCUCGCGUGGCGAACGGGUGAGUAACACGUGAGUAACCUGCCCUUGACUUUGGGAUAACUUCAGGAAACUGCGGCUAAUACCGGAUAGGAGCUCCUGCUGCAUGGUGGGGGUUGGAAAGUUCGGGCGGUUGGGGAUGGACUUCCGGCUUAUCAGCUUGUUGGUGGGGUAGUGGCUUACCAAGGCUUUGACGGGUAGCCGGCCUGAGAGGGGGACCGGCCACAUUGGGACUGCGGUACGGAGCAGACUCCUACGGGAGGCAGCAGUGGGGAAUAUUGCACAGUGGGCGGAAGCCUGAUGCAGCAGCGCCGCGUGCGGGAUGACGGCCUUCGGGUUGUAAACCGCUUUCGCCUGUGACGAAGCGUGAGUGACGGUAAUGGGUAAAGAAGCACCGGCUAACUACGUG
rnacentral:rRNA from 1 species